CCCCAUUGGAGAGGUGUAAUUGGAGAAGUUUCCUCGCGCGCCGCGGAGCGGCGCUGUUCUCCCACUCCUGCCGACGGCGCGGCGGCAUGGCACAUGCUUGGAGAAGCGAAUACAUCGGAGCCCUACAACAAGCCCGACAAGAUGCAUUUCUUCUCUGCGACAGAUGGACGCUUGAAUUGGCUUGAGGACGAAUUCCCGCAGUACCUUGAGAGUCUCCACAGUGCCUGCAAAUCAAGUGGAAAAAAAUUCCUAAGCCCAGAAACUUACGAGGCACUGCUGCUCACAAGCAAGUCUUCUGUUCUUUGUAUUAAGUACUUGCUAGAUAGUGGGUUCUUUUAUGUCUUCACGAGAAAUCUGUCAAGUGAUCCGGUUGAGGUCCUGUUCAGUGCUUUGCGUCAAAUGGCGGGUUGCAAUGACUGUCUAGACGCUAGAGCUGUCACCUUCGGCCUUGAAAAGUUACUCCGGACUGGCAUCCUGUGUGCAUCGCAGGCAUCAAAUGUUGGAAAUGGUCAGAUUGUUAUGAGCAUGUACAGUGCUUCUACAUCAACCCAAUUGAGCAGAGUUGAUCCAGCUGUGCCGAGCGGGACAUCUUCAGGACUGGACACAUCGAGCAUUCCUCAGAACACCUCGGCUAAAACCAGUAGUGCACUACUCAGCUUGUCUGAACCACCCGAUAUUGCGGAUGAUCAAAGCAGUGUGUCAGCAGCAACUAGCGAUUUCCUACUUUCAAGCUAGUGCUGUUUCCCCAUGCUUUUGCACCUUUUUCAUGCCGGUCACUAAUAUGUAGUUUCUGUACCGUUUUGUUUUCUAGCAUUUGUGAACCACCGAGUUUCGUGGAUGAUGUCAACAGUUUGCUGGCGCCCUUGAAAGUGAUGCCCUUGCAGCGGCCGCCUUCAACAGUAGAAACCGCUGCAGUAGCAUACGUCGCCGGUUUCGUCGUGAAAGCGAUAGAAGAACAAAGGAUGUGCAGCGCCUGCCCGAGACUGAAUGAUUCGGAACCAUCAAUAUCACCAGUGAUGGGACUUAUUAACCACCGAACUAGAGGAGGUUUGGUGUUCCCAAAGCCCGAGGUUGUAGCUGUUCUUGUAAAAGUAAGGCCAUCGACAUCGCAGUGCCACGUAUUGGCACAAACGAUGUGUGCAAGAAGAUCACGGUAAUGAUUUUGCCGCAUCUGGAGAGUUGUCCUCUAUUUAUAUGCGAGGCAAGAGAAGACCAUGCCUCGGUCACAUCGUCAAUAGUGGCAAAGAAAUUCAUAAAGCCCCUCCUAUCAAACAUUGUUGCUCUUGUUAGGGACAGAGUGGCCUAUCGCAAAAAAUUAAUCACUAAGCCGCUCAGUCGAAAGGUUUUGCGCGUUUAAACAGCUCGAGCGCGCGCGAGCUGACAACUUUUUAUUGUAAAUAAAUUCCUGCAUACACUGA